GAUGAACGCUGGCGGCGUGCCUAAUCCAUGCAAGUCGAGCGAACGGACGAGAAGCUUGCUUCUCUGAUGUUAGCGGCGGACGGGUGAGUAACACGUGGAUAACCUACCUAUAAGACUGGGAUAACUUCGGGAAACCGGAGCUAAUACCGGAUAAUAUUUUGAACCGCAUGGUUCAAAAGUGAAAGACGGUCUUGCUGUCACUUAUAGAUGGAUCCGCGCUGCAUUAGCUAGUUGGUAAGGUAACGGCUUACCAAGGCAACGAUGCAUAGCCGACCUGAGAGGGUGAUCGGCCACACUGGAACUGAGACACGGUCCAGACUCCUACGGGAGGCAGCAGUAGGGAAUCUUCCGCAAUGGGCGAAAGCCUGACGGAGCAACGCCGCGUGAGUGAUGAAGGUCUUCGGAUCGUAAAACUCUGUUAUUAGGGAAGAACAUAUGUGUAAGUAACUGUGCACAUCUUGACGGUACCUAAUCAGAAAGCCACGGCUAACUACGUG
rnacentral:rRNA from 1 species